AACGAACGCUGGCGGCAGGCUUAACACAUGCAAGUCGAGCGCCCCGCAAGGGGAGCGGCAGACGGGUGAGUAACGCGUGGGAAUCUACCCAUCUCUACGGAAUAACGCAUGGAAACGUGUGCUAAUACCGUAUACGUCCUUCGGGAGAAAGAUUUAUCGGAGAUGGAUGAGCCCGCGUUGGAUUAGCUAGUUGGUGGGGUGAAGGCCUACCAAGGCGACGAUCCAUAGCUGGUCUGAGAGGAUGAUCAGCCACACUGGGACGGAGACACGGCCCAGACUCCUACGGGAGGCAGCAGUGGGGAAUAUUGGACAAUGGGCGCAAGCCUGAUCCAGCCUUGCCGCGUGAGUGAUGAAGGCCCUAGGGUUGUAAAGCUCUUUCACCGGUGAAGAUAAUGACGGUAACCGGAGAAGAGGCCCCGGCUAACUUCGUGCCAGCAGCCGCCGUAAAAC
rnacentral:rRNA from 1 species